rnacentral:lncRNA from 1 species
UCUUGAUGAAUUUCCUUUGUCUUGGGAACCAUGCUGUUGGUAAGUGAAGCACUGUCCUGUUUAUUUUUUAUUUUUUUUUCAAAGAUUUAUUUAUUAUAUGUAAGUACACUGUAGCUGUGUUCAGACACUCCAGAAGAGGGGCAUCAGAUCCCAUUACAGAUGGUUGUGAGCCACCAUGUGGUUGCUAGGAUUUGAAUCAGGACCUCUGGAAGAGCAGUCAGUGCUCUUAACUGCUGAGCCAUCUCUCCAGCCCCCACUGUUCUGUUCAUUACAAAGACUCCACUGCUAAUAUUCCUCACUUUUCCUCCCACCAGAUUUUUGUAUUAAUAUAAUGGAUAAAUUAGAAAUUCUAAAAUAAAUUAUUAUUUCUUAGACAAUCAAGUUUAUACUUUUUUUUAAAAAAAUUUUAUACUUUUUUAAAUUUUAUUUUAAAAUAGAUAGAUAAAGUAGGAAAGCUACAAAGUGUGAGGCUCUGUCAAAGUGUGAAGUGUUGUCAGCAAUUACAGGAUUCUCCUGCUUGUGGCUCCUGUGUGAUACUCUUAAUUCUUUCUACUUUUCUUUCCUUGUGCCCCUUUGUGGGUUUUGUUUUUUGUUUUUUUUUGUUUGUUUGUUUUUUUUUUUUUCCUCGAGACAGGGUUUCCAUGUAUAGCCCUGGCUUUCUUGGAACUCACUUUGUAGACCAGGCUGGUCUUGAACUCAGAAAUCCACCUGCCUCUGCCCCCUGAGUGCUGGUAUUAAAGGUGUGUGCCACCACUGCCUGGUGCCACUUGUGUUUUUUGAAGACAAUUUUGCUAUGUACUCUGACUGGCUUUGUACCUUGCUAUGUAGCCAAGGCUAGCAAUAACUUAAAGCAAUCCUCCUGCUUCAGUUUCCUGAAUGCCAGGAUUGCAGAUGUGUCUCACCACACCUAUGUUUCCUCUCCUCCCACAACUUGUUCUUUCCCUUUGUGAAAGAACUCAAAACCAGAAAUUGAAAACUAUAUACUUUUGGUUUGCUAUAGCAAUGAUAUAAAUUGGAGGUAUAAUUCAGUACUUAUAAUACCAUGAUUGAGUGUUAGAAGGUUGAUGAGUAAUAUACAUUUAUAGUUUGGAUAAUUUUUAGGUAUGUUUGUGUUUCUCCUGAUGUAAAUUUUCAAUUAUCUAUGAAAAUAGAACAGAUUAGUAUCAGCUACACUUGCAAGCUGUCAAGAAAGUGACAAAACAACCAAAAAUGGAAAGAUAUUUUUCUGUAUAUAAUUACAUUAUAGUUUAUUUAUUUAAAUUAUUUUCUGUAUAUAUUAAUUACAUAUUAUAUAUACAAGGUACUAGUACUAAAAAUAUAUAAAGAACUUUAAUAUUGAAAAGAGAAAUAUGCAAAGGGUUUGAGUAGACAGUUCUCUGUAGAAAUUUGUAUGCAAGGUCCAGUAAACACACAGAUUUUUCAUAGCAUGAGUCAUAAGAAAAAAGCAAGCAAAACCAUGAGAUACUGCUUCAUACCCAAAAUAGACACAUCACAGAGAUAGACGGGUCUGAGAGGUGACUCGGGGGUUAGGAGCACUUGCUGUUCUCCCAGGGACCCAGAUUGAUUCCUCCUACUUCCCUGGCAGCUCACACCCACCCACAACUCCACUUUAAAGAGGCCCAGCGCCUCUUCUGAUGUCUGAGGGGACUGCAGAUGUGGUGCCCAGACAUACAGAUAGACAGUCACAUAGAAUCAAAAC